AUUAGUUCGCAGUAAAUAAAUUUGAAUAUUAAUGAAAAUUAGAUUUAGUAAAAAUUUUUAGUAUUAACAAAUUUUGUGCCAGCAGUUGCGGUUAUACAAAUAAUAUAAUUUAAUUUUUUUUAGUGUUAAUAUAUUUUGAAUUGAAAAUUUUAAUAAAAAAUUAAUAAGGUGAAAUUUUUAAUUUUUAUAUAAAUUUGAGAUUGAUAAUUAAUUAAUAAAUUUGUUAAUAAACUAGGAUUAGAUACCCUAUUAUUAUAAAUGUAAAAUUGAACUAGAUUAGUAUUAGUUAUGUUCUUGAAAAUUAAAAAUUUUGGCGGUUUUUUAAUCUAUUCAGAGGAACCUGUUCCAUAAUCGAUAAUCCACGAUUUAACUUACCUUUAUUAUUAGUUUGUAUAUCGUCGUAGUUUGAUUAUUUUAGAAGAAUUUUAAUAUUCAAUUUUUUUUUAAAAAAAAUAAAUCAGAUCAAGAUAUAGCUUAUAUAAAGGUGGAAAUGGGUUACAUUAAUUUUAAUUUAGGAUUUUAAAUUUAAGAUUUAAAUGAAUUAGGAUUUGAAAGUAAUUUUAAAUAAAAUUUUAAGAUGAUUUUAGCUCUAAAAUAUGUACAUAUCGCCCGUCGCUUUCAUUAUAAAGUGAAAUAAGUCGUAACAAAGUAGGCUUACCGGAAGGUGUGCCUAGAA
rnacentral:rRNA from 1 species